rnacentral:rRNA from 1 species
UGGGGAAUAUUGGACAAUGGGCGCAAGCCUGAUCCAGCCAUGCCGCGUGAGUGAUGAAGGCCUUAGGGUUGUAAAGCUCUUUCGCCGACGAAGAUAAUGACGGUAGUCGGAGAAGAAGCCCCGGCUAACUUCGUGCCAGCAGCCGCGGUAAUACGAAGGGGGCUAGCGUUGUUCGGAAUCACUGGGCGUAAAGCGCACGUAGGCGGAUUGUUAAGUCAGGGGUGAAAGCCUGGAGCUCAACUCCAGAACUGCCCUUGAUACUGGCAAUCUCGAGUCCGGAAGAGGUAAGUGGAACUGCGAGUGUAGAGGUGAAAUUCGUAGAUAUUCGCAAGAACACCAGUGGCGAAGGCGGCUUACUGGUCCGGUACUGACGCUGAGGUGCGAAAAGCGUGGGGAGCAAAACAGGAUUAGAUACCCUGGUAGUCCACGCCGUAAAACGAUGGAGGCUAGCCGUUGGCGAGCAUGCUCGUCAGUGGCGCAGCUAACGCAUUAAGCCUCCCGCCUGGGGAGUACGGUCGCAAGAUUAAAAACUUAAAUGAAUUGACGGGGGUCAUAGCUGUUUCCU